rnacentral:rRNA from 1 species
GAUGAACGCUAGCGGCAGGCUUAAUACAUGCAAGUCGUGGGGCAGCAUGAGUAGCAAUACUUGAUGGCGACCGGCAAACGGGUGAGGAACACGUACACAACCUUCCUUCAAGCGGGGAAUAGCCCAGAGAAAUUUGGAUUAAUACCCCAUAAUAUAUUUGAUAAGGCAUCUUAUUAAUAUUAAAGCUUCGGCACUUGAUGAUGGGUGUGCGGCUGAUUAGAUAGUUGGCGGGGUAACGGCCCACCAAGUCUACGAUCAGUAGCUGAUGUGAGAGCAUGAUCAGCCACACGGGCACUGAGACACGGGCCCGACUCCUACGGGAGGCAGCAGUAAGGAAUAUUGGACAAUGGACGAAAGUCUGAUCCAGCCAUGCCGCGUGAAGGAUUAAGGUCCUCUGGAUUGUAAACUUCUUUAUAUGUGACGAAAAAGGGCAUUCUUGUUCACUUGACGGUACCAUAUGAAUAAGCACCGGCUAACUCCGUAGCCAG